rnacentral:tRNA from 2 species
CACCCUGUAGCUCAGAGGAAGAGUGGUCGUCUCUUAGCUGACAGGUCGUAGGUUCAAGUCCUACCAGGUUAC